rnacentral:tRNA from 1 species
GGUCGCUUAGCUCAGCGGUAGAGCACGCCCAUUACAAGGGUGUGGUCACAGGUUCAAUCCCUGUAGCGACCAC